UUUCUCCGCGACGCCCCCGCGCCCUCGGUCCCUCCCUCUCGCCAGUAGUCGCCGGAGGCAGCCAAUCAGAAGCCUCGUUCCUCCGCUGGCCCAGCUGGUAGCGGUCCCCGCGCAGCCAGGGGCUGUCGUUCGCCGGGAGCUGUAGCUGCUGCGGUGGAGGGCGUGCGGGCAGGCUGGGACUCUGUGGUUAAGCCCCGGGCCUCUAGCGCCGCGAGUCUGAAUCCGAGCCUCGGCUUCCCACUCAGUGGCUGUGUGGCCAUGGGUAAGGCGUCCAUCCUCACUUUCUCCAUCUGCAAAAGGAAGGUGAUGGCUUCUCAGUGGUGUCGUGGACUCUUGUGAGCUCUCGCGUGUAAGCAAGGGCGCAGUAGGUGUAGCUUUUAUUAUUCUUGAAAGAAAGGGCGCUUCCCAGGUAAGAGCGCAGACCCCAGAAAGCAGACCCUCAAAAAGAGCAUUUGGUUGCAGGCUAGGGAAGGAGAUGAAGCAGACGAAGCUGGAGAAGCACGCAAGAAACCUUAUAUUUUGCAGGGCCUCCCUGUCGACGGUCUGUGGUGAUAUGUUCCAGCAGCCGUAGAAAACAGUGCUAAUUCCGACAAGGAUAUGGUGAUGAACCAAACCGACGAAAAUGCCUGCCACGCGGACCACUGCCAUUCUGUGCCAGGUGCUGUCCUGUGCCCGUGAUGCGUAGUAUCCCUUUAGUUGUCGCAUAGAUCCUAGGAGACGGCUGCUAUUUGAACCCAAACCAAGUAACUCAGAGACCCUUUCUCUAAGCAUCAUAACCGUGUCCUGCCCGUGACCAAUUAGGCUGUCAGUGUGCGGCAGCUAUUGGGAGUGUGCCAGUGAUCUGCUCAUGUCAUUUCUGAUGCCACUGGCCAGCCGGGUGGAUUGGAUGACUCUGGGUGCCUGGGAGGCUGACCCCUUCUGUUCUCACCACAGCAGGAGAAGGUCUUGCCCAGAGAGAGGAGGAACAUCCUUCGUUCAAGGGUUUAUGAGUAGCAUCCUCUGCCUGAAUGGCCUGCAUCUGCUCAGCUAAUUCAGAUUGUGGUGACUAAGGGGCAGGCACUUCUUCUGAGGACUUUAAGAACCUGGAUUUAUUUCAUCCUCACGGUACCCUUAUGAGGUACAUACGUUCUGUUCUCCUCCUCAUGUCACAGAUGAGGAAACCGAGGCGCAGAGAAGUUAAAUAACUUAACAAAGGUCCCGAGACUUAUCAGGAGCCAAGAUUCAACCUCUCGACUGUUUUAAGGCUCAUUAAUACAAUGGCUACAGUUUAUUGAGCAGCUACUAUGUGUCUGGCACUCUUCGUGUACGUGUCACAACAACCCUUCGAAUGAGGCACUGUACUAAGCCCCGAAAGUGGAGAAGUGAGUAAGAUUCAGGCAAUAAAAGUAGUGGUCAAGAAGUCGGACUUCGGAGUCUCCAGAACCAUCUGGGUGAUCUUAGGCAAGUCACUUAACUCUUCUGAGACUCAGUUUUCUCAUCCAUAAAAUGGGAAUGGUACCAGGAUCUACCUCCGGGGCAUUAUGAGGAUUAUAUGAGACCCAGCACACGCAGUGCUUAGGCUCAGUGCUUGGCACAGCAUGAGUUGUCAGUACGUGUCAGCUGUUGUUAUACAGUUGUUGCUGUAAUAAGAAAGCUCAGUUCCUGCCCUUACCGGAGAAGACCCAUGAGUGAUGUAGCCAUCACUGUUCCUCCCAUGUUCAUUCCGACGGUAAUUUAACAAACUUUGAACUAGGCUAAGUCUCUAGCUUGCUCAACCCAAUGGCAGACUGAAGACAAAAUGAGGGAACUCCUGCUUCUCACUAGCUUCAAAGCCGCCCACCAUCUCUUUUUCCUCCUGGGAUGGGCUAGAACCUCUAGGAAGACUAGUCACCCUCCGCCCUCCUGGAACACAGUGGAUGUGCUUAAAGAAAGAAAAUACCGGAAAAUCCCACCAGAGCAUAUGACUGUGAAUUGAACACACAUAUGCUAGACUUACCUGGAAGUUUGCCAAGACCCAGUGAUGAAGAUGGAGGGAGGAUAUUAAGCCUCCAACACAGAGGAGCCAUGGGACCACCACUGACUGAGCCCUUCCAUCUUGGCUUCCCUGUUUCUGAACCAAGGCCUCGCUGGGGUCACCAGACAGCUGCCCUAUAGCUCCUUCUUGCUGGCUGAAGGAAACAUCUUCUACGGAAUGAUGGAAGAAAAGGAGACACAUUUUUAUUUCCUGCCUGUAAGAUUUAUCAACCCUAAAAAGUGACUUUGAUGCUGGCACAACCAGAUAUCCAUACACAUCACACUGUCUGCGAAAAUUAACUCAAAAUGGAUCAUAGACCUGAACGUAAGUGCUAAAGCCAUCAAAUUCAUAAAAGCAAACAGUAACAUAUCUUUGGGACCAUGGGUUAAGUCAUGAUUUCUUGGAUAUGACAGAAGAAAUGGAAGAAAAAUUACAUAAAGUAGACUUCACCAAAAUCUUAAAACUUUUGUACUUCAAAUGGCACCAUGAAGAAAAUAAAGAUCACCCACAAAAUGGGAGAAAACAUUGCAAAUCACAUACUUGAUAAGGGAUUUACAUCUAUAAUAUAUAAAGAACCCUCACAACUCAACAAUAAAAAGACAAAUACCCCAGUCUAAAAACGGGAAAAGAUUGGAGUAGGUAGUUCACCAAAGAAGAUAUACAGAUGGCCAAUAAGCACAUGGAAGGAUGUCUAACAUCAUUAGUUAUUAGGGAAAUGCAAAUCAAAAUCACAAGACACCACAUCAUUGUAUCCAGGAUGGCUAACAUAAAAACAUCAGACCAUAACAAAUUAGGAAGGAUGUGGAUAUACUGAAAUGCUCAUAUAUUUCUGGUGGAAAGUAAAACGAGGCAGUCACUUUGAAAAGCAGCUUGGCAGUUUCUCUAAAUGUCAAAUAUACAGUUAUCAUAUGACACGGCAGUUUUGCUCCUAGGAAUAUACAUAAGAGGAAUGAAAACAUAGGUCCACAUAGAAACUGGUCCAUGAAUGUUCGUUCACAGCAGCAUUAUUCAUGACAACCAAAGAGAGUAAACAACCCAGAUGUCUAUCACCUGAUGCAUGGAUAGACAAAAUGUGGUCUAUUCAUAGAAGGGAACAUUAUUCGGCCACAAAAGAAACGAAGUGUUGAUUCAUGCAAUACAAACAAACGUGAAAACAUUAUGCUGAGUGAAAGAAGUCUGUCACAAAACCCUCAUACACUGUGUGAUGCAAUUUAUAUGAAAUGUCUGGAACAGGGAGAUCCAUGGAAAUAGAAAGUAGACUUGUGGUUGCCUAGAAUUUGGGGUAGGGGUGUGGAAGAAGGAGUGAUAGCUAAUGGGGACAGGGUUCCUUUCAUAGGGCAAUGAAAAUGUUCUAAAAUUAGUGGUGAUUGUUACACAGCACUGAAUAUACUAAAAACCAUUGAGUUGUAUACUUUCAAUGAGUGAAUUUUAUGGUAUAUGGAUUAGAUCUCAAAAAAGUAUUAUUAAGAAGAAUGACUCUCAGUCCCUGAUUGUCCUUGAAGAGGCUACUGGAGAUUUGUCCAUUUCUUACCUCAGUACAGAUGAAUUGGGGAUCUGGCUGAAAACUUGUCUUUGCUGCCCACUUUCUACUCCAAAGUUCAAGUUUUUUUCUAAAUUCUCCAACUUCUCUUCUGAUUCCAGGCCUAAGCACAGGGCUAUUUCUUUAUCUGCAUUGCCCAUUUCCCCUAGUUCCCUGCUGCCAUCCUUCAUAUAUCAGCCAAACCAGGGGUGGGUAGGGAUUUCAAGGUAGCAUUGGGUGUCCCCGGGGGUGUUCUAUUUUCUUACCACCAUUCCACUGAAGUGUGUUGGGGUGUUCCCUUUUCUUACCACCGUUCCACUGAAGUGUGUUGGUAUGUUCCCCGAGGACAGUUCCCUGAGGACAGUUGCCAACAUAGGCUUGGUUAUCACUGAAUGAAUGAAUAAAUAAACGAAUGAGUGAAGUGAAUACAUACCGGAAAAAGAACAAGUGUCUAUACAGAAUGGGAAGAUACGGAGAAGACAGAACAGGGAAAAGGAAGAAGGGAGGAUUUGGAUGAAAGGUAUAUUACCAUGUACCCCUUUUUUCCUAUUUGUUGAGAAAUGUGGAUUUCCCUACAGCCACUUUGACCAUGCGAACCUCUCACAUUCUAUAAUGGCUUCUCAUUUUCCUGUGAAUCAAACCAAAACCUUAGGCCUGUCAAAGAACACCCAAAACCUUGUUUUUCUACUCUUUGGCUCAAGAAAUACCAAGUUGGGAACCUAGCCAAAGAAAAUAUCAUCAACAAGCAUUUGAAUCCAGAGCGGGGAGAGGGGUGAACUCUGGAAACAUGUGCACAAAGUUACCGAUCUGGCAUGAUUUCUAAUAGUCAGAAAUUGGAAACAACCUAAAUGUCCAGUGGUAGGAUAGCAUAUAUCAUGCCAUGUCCCAAAGAUGAAAUAAUGUGUUCCCACUAGAAGAAUUUAGUAGUUUGGGGCGCCUGGCUGGCUCAGUAGGUUAAGCAUCUGACACUAGAUUUCAGCUCAGGCCAUCAUGGUUCUGAGCCGCCAGGGG